GGCGGCAGGCCUAACACAUGCAAGUCGAACGCGAUCUUCGGAUCGAGUGGCGCACGGGUGAGUAACGCGUGGGAAUCUGCCCUGUGGUACGGAAUAACAUCGGGAAACUGGUGCUAAUACCGUAUAUCCCCUGAGGGGGAAAGAUUUAUCGCCAUGGGAGGAGCCCGCGUAGGAUUAGCUAGUUGGUGAGGUAACGGCUCACCAAGGCGACGAUCCUUAGCUGGUCUGAGAGGAUGAUCAGCCACACUGGGACUGAGAUACGGCCCAGACUCCUACGGGAGGCAGCAGUGGGGAAUAUUGGACAAUGGGGGAAACCCUGAUCCAGCCAUGCCGCGUGUGUGAUGAAGGCCUUCGGGUUGUAAAGCACUUUCGCACGUGACGAUGAUGACGGUAACGUGAGAAGAAGCCCCGGCUAACUUCGUGCCAGCAGCCGCGAUAAUACGAAGGGGGCAAGCGUUGUUCGGAAUUACUGGGCGUAAAGGGCGCGUA
rnacentral:rRNA from 1 species